rnacentral:rRNA from 1 species
UACGUAGGUGGCAAGCGUUGUUCGGAAUUAUUGGGCGUAAAGGGCGCGUAGGCGGCUUGUUAAGUCGGUUGUGAAAGCCUGGGGCUCAACCCCGGAAAGUCGACCGAUACUGGCAGGCUAGAGUACGGAAGAGGUAGCUGGAAUUCCCGGUGUAGCGGUGGAAUGCGUAGAUAUCGAGAGGAACACCUGCGGCGAAGGCGGGUUGCUGGGACGACACUGACGCUGAAGCGCGAAAGCCAGGGGAGCGAACGGG